rnacentral:rRNA from 1 species
UGGGGAAUCUUGCGCAAUGGGCGAAAGCCUGACGCAGCAACGCCGCGUGUGUGAUGAAGGUCUUCGGAUCGUAAAGCACUGUCGCGAGGGACGAAUAAGGGGCGGGUUAACAUCCCGUUCCGAUGACGGUACCUCGAGAGGAAGCACCGGCUAACUCUGUGCCAGCAGCCGCGGUAAUACAGAGGGUGCAAGCGUUGUUCGGAAUUAUUGGGCGUAAAGCGCGUGUAGGCGGCUCAGCAAGUCGGGUGUGAAAGCCCUCGGCUUAACCGAGGAAGUGCGCCUGAAACUACUGAGCUUGAGUACCGGAGAGGGUGGCGGAAUUCCCGGUGUAGAGGUGAAAUUCGUAGAUAUCGGGAGGAACACCAGUGGCGAAGGCGGCCACCUGGACGGCUACUGACGCUGAGACGCGAAAGCGUGGGGAGCAAACAGG